rnacentral:piRNA from 1 species
UGACAGUCCAGACAGAACGACCCACCA